GGGAGGAGCAGAAGCACCCAUGAAGUCCCCAAGCCAGUUUGCGUCCCUAGUUUGAGGGUAUAAUUGAAAUAAUUGGGCUUCACAGAGGGGUCAAUACUGUCAGCAUCAGAAGUUCAAGCCGGACCUCUUCGACGAAUGCUCUCUUUCGGACUCUCAUGACGUGGUUCAAAAGGGCUGCUCCAAAUCAAGAUAAAACAUACUUAAUCAAGUGUUAUCAACACGUUAAUCCGUCUGGCUUGUCCUCGACUCCACACAAGCUAGCUAAAGUUUCAUACACAAUUCUGGAGGGCAUUCAAAUUUGAUACACCCUGUGGUUUGAAAUGGUCCUUUGUUGACGGAGUCAGUGGAUCCUCCCGACACUUGUGGCAGCAGGGAUCAAGACAUAUAAAGUUAAAAUUGGAUGACUUCUCUCUCUCUCUCUCUCUCCCCUUCUUUCUUCCUUCGGCCAUUCUCGUCGCUCAUGAAACGAGUGAGUCCCUCAAAAUUUAGCCGCGUUACUCCAUUGAGCUCGAGGUGCCUUUCAGAGGAAACCUUUCCACGCCUACUCUGCUGGUCGCGUAAUCUGAAUCUAUUCCGAACUACUGUUUACAUCAUCUGAGAUAUUGCGCAUCUUUAAAAAAAUGAUUUAUUUAUUUUUUUCAUUUUGAACAACAAUCCCCAACUCCCA